rnacentral:rRNA from 1 species
UACAGAGGUCUCAAGCGUUGUUCGGAUUCAUUGGGCGUAAAGGGUGUGUAGGUGGCGCCGUAAGUCGGGUGUGAAAUCUCGGAGCUUAACUCCGAAACUGCAUUCGAUACUGCCGUGCUUGAGGACUGGAGAGGAGACUGGAAUUUACGGUGUAGCGGUGAAAUGCGUAGAUAUUAGGAAGAACACCAGUGGCGAAGGCGGCUCACUGGCCCGGUACUGACGCUGAGGCGCGAAAGCGUGGGGAGCAAACAGG